rnacentral:lncRNA from 1 species
AAUUAUCCUUUGCUUAGCCUCUUUAAUAAUAAUGUAACUUGAAAGAAUAUGAAUGGAUGAACUAGCAACGUUGGGUGAGAUUAUGCGUGAGAUGAAGAUGGUCAUAUUCACUAAGUGACGGAUGAGCUUCAACAAAUUCCAUACAAGAUCUGAAUAUGCGUGGGAUGUAAUUCUAAGAAAGCACGGUAUAAUCUUUCUCAAGAAUAUCAUGCGGAUUUUUUCCUACUCCGAUCCGUCAUUACGUGUUGUUGCAAUUGACGUGUGUUAGAAAGAUUGUCAAGAGAAUUGGCUCAGGUACGUUAAGGCUAUCCCUUCUCUUUUUUUGGCAUGAUCUAUACGACACGAAAUGAGAAAAAUAUACAACUUUCAUAAAUCACUCUAUUCAUAGAAAUACUAAGGGUGUCUAUAUUCUUGAUUCCCCAUGUGAAUUAUUAUUAUAUCUUUUAUUCAUGGGUCUCAUUUGAUAAGGUUUAUCCGAAAGGCAUAUUGAUUUUAUGAUAUUGCGAAAAAUCUUGUAACGUAUUUCAUAUGCAUUUCAUGCAUUUAUACAUGUACAUUGACCCAUGACCAGAUGACAUUAUAUAUGUGUAUAUUAUAUGUAUGUGGGAUAUAGGAAAAGGUUACGGCGUUAUAUAUGCACCACCACCUGAUCAGCUAGUAUACGUUGAUAAUUUGCCCACAGUGGCCAAAAUGANNNNNNNNNNNNNNNNNNNNNNNNNAGUCUUUUACUCCAUGUUUCUCUCAUGUCUGUUAUUUACUGAUUUUCAUUCCUUACAUGAUCGGUACAUUAUUUGUAUUAAAGUUCCUUUUGCCUGGGGACGCUACAUUUCAUGCCUACAGGUCUCAAUAGACAGGUUGAGAGUCCUCCAAGUAGGCGAUCAGCUUAGCGGAAGAUGUUGGUGCACUCCAUUUGUUCUGAAGUUGCUUGUUUGGUCAAUAUGAUUUAGAUGUGUAUUGUUUGGUAUGGCGGGGCUCUAUCUCGACCUUUAUGACAAUUAUGUAUCCUUAGAGACUUGUAGACAGAUGUCAUGUACUUACAAGAUUGUAUGACCUUGUCGGCCUAUGUUUUGAGUUUAUAAAUGAUCAUGUGGCCUAUUAGGCCCGUAUG